GUGUCAGCCGCCGCGGUAAUACAGAGGGUGCGAGCGUUGUCCGGAAUCACUGGGCGUAAAGGGCGCGUAGGCGGCUCGGUAAGCGUGUGGUGAAAGCCCGGGGCUCAACCCCGGGUCGGCCAUGCGAACUGUCGAGCUGGAGCACGGUAGAGGCACAUGGAAUUCCGGGUGUAGCGGUGGAAUGCGUAGAGAUCCGGAAGAACACCGGUGGCGAAGGCGGUGUGCUGGGCCGUAGCUGACGCUGAGGCGCGACAGCGUGGGGAGCAAACAGGAUUAGAAACCCCCGUAGUCC
rnacentral:rRNA from 1 species